GACGAACGCUGGCGGCGUGCCUAAUACAUGCAAGUAGAACGCUGAAGGAGGAGCUUGCUUCUCUGGAUGAGUUGCGAACGGGUGAGUAACGCGUAUGUAACCUGCCUGGUAGCGGGGGAUAACUAUUGGAAACGAUAGCUAAUACCGCAUAACAGUAGAUAUCGCAUGAUAUCUACUUGAAAGGUGCAAUUGCAUCACUACCAGAUGGACCUGCGUUGUAUUAGCUAGUUGGUGAGGUAACGGCUCACCAAGGCGACGAUACAUAGCCGACCUGAGAGGGUGAUCGGCCACACUGGGACUGAGACACGGCCCAGACUCCUACGGGAGGCAGCAGUAGGGAAUCUUCGGCAAUGGACGGAAGUCUGACCGAGCAACGCCGCGUGAGGGAAGAAGGUUUUCGGAUCGUAAAGCUCUGUUGUAAGAGAAGAACGAGUGUGAGAGUGGAAAGUUCACACUGUGACGGUAUCUUACCAGAAAGGGACGGCUAACUACGUG
rnacentral:rRNA from 1 species